AGACGUGACUCGGGAUGGCAGAUGCACUCUGGAGACACAAGUGAGGAAACAUCUGCCAUCAGUUACUUCUGCAGCAGACAGUACAUGUGAAAGCUGGGGUCAGAGGACAGGGUCAGUCAUGAUACAGCCCCUGAAGUUAAGUUUAUAACAUACUUGAAUAAGAGUGUACUAAUAUCUUGUUUGUGUGCAAAUGAGAAACUCUGUAUUUCUGUUAUUUCAUUUAUGUGUGUCUCCUCACCCUGUCUUGUGCUGGCUUGCGAACCCUGAAGAAGAAGACCACCAGGGACGUGGGAAGUAGCUCCCACACAAAGAGAAUGACCCCAAAUACGACAUAGCCAGCAUCUCCCAGACUGGACCUCAGGUAGAUGCUGGCAAGGGACAUCUUGGCCACCUUGUAGAGGCAGACGGAGAGAGAGAUGGCGCAGAGGACGAAGAGCGAGUCGUUAAUGGU